ACAGCACUGAGCUCAGCAUCUCCAUUCAAUUCAGCCACCUAUAAAUACUGACGAGGACUCCUCCAACAUUCAUCAGCUGACUGGCUGGCUGAGCAGUGCAGUCAUGAAGGUCCUCGUUGUCCUCGUCUUCAUCUUUCUCUCAGGUUGUAAUGGUGGACACUAUGAACCCCCAAGCCAAAGGCAGG